rnacentral:rRNA from 1 species
CAAAACGACUCUCGGCAACGGAUAUCUCGGCUCUUGCAUCGAUGAAGAACGUAGCGAAAUGCGAUACGUGGUGUGAAUUGCAGAAUCCCGUGAACCAUCGAGUUUUUGAACGCAAGUUGCGCCCAAAGCCAUUUGGUUGAGGGCACGUCUGCCUGGG